GUCGGAAGAAGCACAGUUCGAACCUUCUUAUCACUUCUGGUCUAAACAUGCUCUUGUACAAAUGCAGACUAAGUGGCACCUAAUAUUCUAAGUUACACACAUACAGAGAAAAGCCAUUUCAUAAGCACAUGAUUCAUACAUUCUUAAGUAAUUAACAGUGUUUGCAAAUUAUCUCCAUCAGAUAUGAUCUCACUGGCUUGGAACCGCUCACGGCUGGCACAUGAGUCCAAUGGAUGAGCUGGGAUUAACUUCCAGAACCCAAUUCAGACUACUCUCCUCCCAC
ensembl:ribozyme RNaseP_nuc Nuclear RNase P